CGAGUCGGCCGGGCGGUCGCGUCAUCACUGCGGGCCCGCGGUGAUGCCGAGGAACGUCCGGACUCCAAAGGGCAGGGUGGUUGUUAACGGCAACCCGGGGCGACCCGCGGGAAAGUGCCACAGAAAACAGACCGCCCGACUCCAUCGGAGAUCGGGUAAGGGUGAAACGGUGGGGUAAGAGCCCACCAGCACCCCGGGUGACCGGGGUGGCUCGGUAAACCCCACCCGGAGCAAGGCCAAGAGGGACCCACGGGUCCUGCGCAGGCGUUCGAGGGCUGCCCGCCCAAGCCUGCGGGUAGGCCGCUGGAGCGCAUCGGCAACGGUGCGCCGAGAUGGAUGGCCGCCGCGCCCUCUCCGGAGGGCGGCACAAAAUCCGGCGUACAGGCCGACUCGUCCG
rnacentral:RNase_P_RNA from 1 species